rnacentral:lncRNA from 1 species
UUCUAGUGUGCAGGGAACCAGUUCAAAUUCCAUCCUUUGUGCUCUGAAGACCAGCACUUCAGGGAGAAAAUGAAGAAAGAGGCUUAUCAGCACCUCCCUCUCUGGAGUCUUCUCCCUUCUGCACAGCUGAGGAUAACAAGUGAAUCCGAGCUUUAGGCCCACACCACGGACAUGGAGUUAAAAAUGAGAGAAGACUGGAGCAAAAAACUGUUUCCGUUGAACAAGACUCUCUGCUGGUGAGACUCCAAAAUGGAAUUCAAAAGAUCCCAGGGACAGGGAGGCCUUGAGUGAAUCCCACUCUUUCUUCGGGCCUGUUUCUCCAUCUGUAAAGCGAGAACCUUUUCGUCGCCUCAAGGCCUGUUGACUCCUGGGGAUUCUGGCAAAGUGCCCAGGGGCUGGGAAAGGCCUCUUAACCAAGGAGGGGGCUGGAACCCGCCACCCCGGCAUUAGGACUCUUGUGGUCGCAGGUGACAGAAAACACAACUCAAACUGACUUGAGUGACAAGAUGGCCCCAGCAGCCUCAGCCGAGAUGAUGGACAAUUCUCUUCUCUUACCAACAACUCCAGCAAGAGCCCCAGACUGGGUCUCAGGGAUCCUUCCUGUGUCCCUUGUUCGUCCCAACUGGGCACAGGAGGCUCUGACCAGCUGGGCUGUGUCCCCUUCUGUAGCCCGGGGAAAAAUCAGCCCUCGUGGGAUGCUAGGACUAAGAAGGGGAGAGACAUUUCCCCAGAGGAAAACCCACGGCACAGCCACGUGGAAGAGGUUGCAAUGACUGUGUCACAACCUGGUGAACCUUCUAGGCCUGGGUCCCUGCGUGACCACGUGGAGCAGAACCCCCAGUGACCUGUGCUGGACUUGGAGGAGAACAGUGGAUAAAUAAACCUUUGUUAUAUUGAGU